rnacentral:rRNA from 1 species
CGGGUGAGUAACGCGUGGGUAACCUGCCUCAUACAGGGGAUAACAGUUAGAAAUGACUGCUAAUACCGCAUAAGCACACAGUACCGCAUGGUACAGUGUGAAAAAACUCCGGUGGUAUGAGAUGGACCUGCGUCUGAUUAGCUAGUUGGCGGGGUAACGGCCCACCAAGGCGACGAUCAGUAGCCGACCUGAGAGGGUGACCGGCCACAUUGGGACUGAGACACGGCCCAA